GAAAACAUAUAGACCCGUCUUCAAUUUGAUCGAUUAUUAACAUUUAAAAAUACCUAAAGUUGUAUUACAAAAGUAGUUUGAAAUUUUUAGGCAAAGUUUUACAGGCAACUUUUGAAAUAUUUUGCAGUGACUUUGUCCAAUUUGGAAGCUGUUUUUUUCUGGAUCAAACACACCAAAUAAAUUGACAUUUUAGAUAUAUAUGGACGGAAUUAAUCGAAGAAAAGGACAAAUUGUGAUGUUUAUGGGACAUAUUGGAGUGCCAACAAAAGAAGCUGGUCAAAGGAACUUGAACACAUGCAAUGUAAAUUCUGCAAAUUUGUCCACUUCAAUCAAGAGGUCCUUCUGAAACACUGUCAAAUAGGAGGAGCAAACUGGCCCCGUCUUUACUCUGAUUGUGUCUGUACCUUUAACUACGGGAUUGGUGUCCCUAAACCGGGACGGUUGUUGCUAUGGUGGGCUGAUGUGACUACAAUGACAUCUGUGUUGAAAUUAAGUGCAUCACCAACGUGAAACUGCUGGAGACAUUCAGAGCAUCUUUAAACCAGCACUCGCCUCAAACUGUACCGAGCCAGAAGGGGAGCUCUUGGACAGGAGAUCCAAGAUGUUGUAUAUUAACACCUGACUGCCCUUGCUUAGAGCCUAGUCUAACCUUGCCAUUUUAGAACACAGGUAUAUCAUAUCCUGGUGAAAGCCAGACACAACUCUAUUUAUAGGACAGGAAAAUCUUCCUGGCAUGAUUUUCAACCCCAAAAAUUACUGAUCCAUUUCACUUCCCUCUCAGAAUUGACACUAGCUGUGGUUUGUUCUGGACUCAGUCUGCCAAUUUAAAUGUGCGGGUGGUGUAUGGUAGGUCUAGGGAGUACCUCAAAAUGCUUAAUCUUUCAGCAACGUAUCACGUUUUAGCAAUAUCUGCAUUUAAGGUAUCAUAAAUGCCACAAAUUACUCACAAAUAAAUCAUAUUGUUUUCUUUUGCGUAUUGUUUUUCCGACCUCAAACAUUGUGGCACAGAGGAAGAUAAUAGUCCUGGAAGGCCUCCCCUUGUUUGUUCGCGAAAAUCCAGCAAAGCUACUGAAGACAUGCGUGGACACUGCUCCAGAGAAGAGCCAGACCAGAGGCGUCGAAGCUGGCAUCCUCACGGUUAUUGUGCUGGAAGAGGCUGUUGUCUUAAAAAUAUCUUCCAGACCUGCCAUCUGCAUUUGUUUACCUGUUUGGCCUCAACUUCGCCUUGAAGAUACGUUUUUUGGGUACUCUAAGUACACUUUUGAGGUAAUUGAGAAUGUUUUCGUGGACCUGGGCAUUCAGUGCUCUGCAAGGGUUAGGUUCCUCCAAACCAAGUUCUUCCUGUGACUAAGCGGGUGAUUUGUGAUCAAAGCAACGGUCUUUGAAACUCAAGAAACCCAUUUGUGCAGUUGAGAUCUUCCUAUUCUUCUGCUAAAAGACUGGGUCUGUUCAAGACUGGGACUACCUGCUUGACAUGUUUUAACUAGCUAGGUGAACACCUUUUAAGAGUUUUCAGUUACAUUGACAGAAUGUUUGCCCUAC